rnacentral:rRNA from 1 species
AGGCUUAACACAUGCAAGUCGAGCGCCCCGCAAGGGGAGCGGCAGACGGGUGAGUAACGCGUGGGAAUCUACCCUUGACUACGGAAUAACGCAGGGAAACUUGUGCUAAUACCGUAUGUGUCCUUCGGGAGAAAGAUUUAUCGGUCAAGGAUGAGCCCGCGUUGGAUUAGCUAGUUGGUGGGGUAAAGGCCUACCAAGGCGACGAUCCAUAGCUGGUCUGAGAGGAUGAUCAGCCACAUUGGGAGUGAGACACGGCCCAA